UAGACAGAUGUCCUUGGUGAUAAUAAUCACA
rnacentral:piRNA from 1 species